rnacentral:sRNA from 2 species
AAAUAAUCUUGUUAGGUGAGGUUACUGUAUAGAUAUACGCUACUGCCCAGAAAUGUCGAGAGACGCCAAUGGGUCAGCAGGUACUACCGGAUUAAGGUUUUACUUAAUGUAGCUGACAACAUUCAUAGAAAUAUGAAUGCUUAUGCUCUAAGCUUUACAGAGUCAAAACUCAACGAGUGAAGAUGUACU